CCGGUUGGUGGUGAUUAUUGACUUGGUAACUUUUACUAGAUUUUUACUUGUAGGAGCAAAGUUUACUCCUGCAAGAUUUACCCUAAUUGUUGAAUCAACUGAAUGUCUAGCACUAGAUGUUGACCCAAUACUACUAGAUUGAUGAUAGCGAUAGGAUUGGCUUCUAUUCAUCCUGAUCCUGACGUAUCCAUCAAUAUCUUGAAUAACAUCUCUAAUAGUUCUGGCCUCAAUCUUUUCAGAUUUAACCACAUCUUGUAAUAUCCAUUCUUGAGGGAAUUUUUCUAUAAUAUCCGAAGCAGUCAGUAUUUUUGGGGUCAUAACAUUGGACCUGCUAAGAUUUGCUUC
rnacentral:lncRNA from 1 species